rnacentral:antisense_RNA from 1 species
UUUGGCUCCAGCCACCCCAAUGGCAUUUCCUCUUAAGCUGUUGGGAAAGACAGGAAGCCUAAGGCAUGGGUACAGGCUGAGAGGUGAUACUGGCCCCUCUGCGGGUGGGCUUGGGGCUGCUCGGUAGAGGAAACAAGGACUUCAGCAGUCACAGGAGGCCAGGGCUGUGCCUUCCUCACUCCAGGGCAACAGGGCAGAGCUGGCUCUGGGAAGCAGGGCACACAGAAAGGGGCAUGGCUGGCCUAGCCAGGAGGGUUGUUGGAGCCUUCCUCCUCUUCCAUUUCAAACAGAAAAGCGGGGCUGAGACAGGAGAGGCAGCCCUCCAUCUGGGCAGGUCCCCAGGGCUCCCAGCAAGGGCAGGAAUUCUGAGGACAUGCCUGAGCCUCAGAGCUGUAACCUCACCCCAGGACUUUGGAUCUGCCCAGAGAACAAGAUCAGCCCCCCUGGGACCCAUAAACCAGGCCUCUAGACGUGUUCAGCCUGGCAAGGCCAACCCGGAGAGGAGGGCAAAUGAUAGCGACUCCCAGGGAAAAGCAUGAAGUGGGGCUGGGAAACUGGUAUACUUGCACUGAAAUGAAGAUCACCAGGAUGAUUUGUGAGUUCUCUGUAAACUUUGUCCCCAUAUCUAUUCAUUGAGAAUUCAUUGAUUUCUUUGGGCUAAAGACCAUAGAUGGAGACUGGAAUACUUACUCGAGAAUCUCCAAGGUUCUGUUCACAGCCAAGGCUUCCCCUAGCACCUGGGCGCCUGAAGCACCAAUUGAGGCCACCUGGAGACUGGGGCGGAGAGGGUGCCGUCAGUGUGGGCCGGCUGGGCCCACCUCCCUCCGCAUACUCCAUUCCCUUUCACCACCCCUUGACUCAGGGUGGAAAGUGGAGAAACAGCACUGAGAAUGGUUGGCCAGCGCUGUGUCUAGGCACUCCAUCUCCUACCUACACUGUCUGUUGCCUAAGACAGAGAUCUGGAUGCUAAGGAGAUGAGAAAUAGAGGCUGUCCCUGGAAGGGCUCGGGGAGAAUGCUUCCUGUACCUCCUCAUUACUACUCUCUAGGUGUUUGAGCCCCCAACUGCUAAUAUCAUAUUUCCUAUAUUAGGAAAAUCAAACACACCUUCCUUGACUUGUAAACAAAAAUAACGUCCAGGCCAGGUGUGGUGGCUCACACCUGUAAUCCCAGCACUUUGGGAGGCUGAGGUGGGCAGAUCACCUGAAGUCAGGAGUUUGAGACCAGCCUGGCCGAUAUGGUGAAACCCCGUCUCUACUAAAAAUACAAAAAUUAGGCUGGGUGUGGUGGUGCACGCCUGUUAUCCCAACUACUGUAUGGGAGGCUGAGGCUUGAGAAUCACUUGAACCCAGGAGGUGGAGGUUACAGUUAGCUGAGAUUGUGUCACUGCACUCCAGCCUGGGUGGCAGAGCAAGACUCUUGUCUCGAGGAAAAAAAAAAAAAAAAAAGACCUCUAACGUGAAAGGAUGGCGAAGGGACCGGUUUCCUGACUGCUACGCACAUCUAGGACUUACUAGAGAGCAGUGAGGGCUGUGUUGACCUUCAGUGCACGGGCCACCGCACACGCUCCGUCAUCCCCGAUGGCGUUCUCCUGUAAACUAGACACAGAGUAUGACCCCUUUGGGUGCACGGGGCACAGGGAGCAUUCUAGCAAGGCCCUGCCACGCUUGGACCUGCCAGGUUUAACCGACUACACACACCAUAGACACAGACUUCCAGGGUUUCCUGGGGAUAACUGCCCUUCCUCCACAGGCCCUGCAGCCCGCCGCCUCAUACUAAGCACACAGAGGCGUCUGGGGCCUGCAUGAGUCUGAACCGCCAGAGGCAAGCAGGAAAUGGGACACAUAGAGUGACUGUCAGCAGGGGCUUGGGACCCAAAAGGGGAUGCUUUUCACGGCCAACCAGAAAAUGAACUUAAAGCCCUCAAUCCCUGAGCCAUUCUUGUUUGUCUUGUUUUCUCUUGAGACAGGGUCUCACUCUGCCACCCAGGCUGGAAUACAGUGGUGAGAUCACGGCUCACUGCAGCCUCAACCUCCCAGGCUCAAGCGAUCCUCCCACCUCAGCCUCCCGAGGAGACUAAAGUACUUAACUAGAGACGGGGACUACAUGCACAUGCCCCCAUGCCCGGCUAAUGUUUUUAUUCUUUUAUAGAGAUGGGGUCUCACUAUGUUGCUCAGGCUGGUCCUGAACUCCUGGGCUCAAGCAGUCCUCCCACCUUGGCAUCCCAAAUUGCUGGCAUUACAGGCAGGAGCCACCAUGCCCAACUUCCUUGGCCAUUCUUGCUAAUUAGGGUUUUGUGUCAUUUUUUCCCCUUCUAAGUUGGAGGGAACUAGCAGGCCCUGGUGCAGUGAGUGACUUGAGUUUAGCUCAAGCGCACAUUGGUAUGUUCAAGGCCAAGAGCUGUUUGCAUUCAUUAUUUUAACAGACAUUUGAGUGUGGCCGGGCGCAGUGGCUCACACCUUUAAUCCCAGCACUUUGGGAGGCUGAGGUGGGUGGAUCACUUGAGGUUAGGAGUUCGAGACCAGCCUGGCCAACAUGGUGAAACCCCGUCUCUACUAAAAAUACAAAAAUUAGGCUGGGUGGGUGUAUUUUUAGUAGAGACAGGGUUCUCUGUCUCUACUAAAUUAGCUGGGAGUGGUGGAGGGCACCUGUAGUCCCAGCUACUGGGGAGGCUGAGGCAGGAGAAUCACUUGAACCCAGGAGGUGGAGGUUGCAGUAAGCCGAGAUCCCGCCACUGCACUCCAGCCUGGGCAACAGAGUUAGAGUCCGUCUCAAAAAAUUAAAAUG